rnacentral:rRNA from 1 species
UACGGAGGGUGCAAGCGUUGCUCGGAAUUAUUGGGCGUAAAGGGCAGGUAGGUGGUCUCAUUUGUCUGGGGUGAAAGCCUUGAGCUUAACUCAAGAAGUGCCUUAGAAACGGUGAGACUGGAGUCCUGGAGAGGGUCGUGGAAUUCCCGGUGUAGCGGUGAAAUGCGUAGAGAUCGGGAGGAACACCAGAGGCGAAGGCGGCGACCUGGACAGGUACUGACACUCAACUGCGAAAGCGUGGGGAGCAAACAGGAUUAGAUACCCGGGUAGUCC